GCCCCGGAACCAGGCGCCCGCCGGAGGAACCAACCAAACUCUUUCUGUAGUCCCCUCGCGGACGUAUUUCUUACAGCUCUGAGCAAAAAUUCAAAAUGAAUCAAAACUUUCAACAACGGAUCUCUUGGUUCUGGCAUCGAUGAAGAACGCAGCGAAAUGCGAUAAGUAAUGUGAAUUGCAGAAUUCAGUGAAUCAUCGAAUCUUUGAACGCACAUUGCGCCCGCCAGUAUUCUGGCGGGCAUGCCUGUCCGAGCGUCAUUUCAACCCUCGAACCCCUCCGGGGGAUCGGCGUUGGGGAUCGGGACCCCUCACACGGGUGCCGGCCCCUAAAUACAGUGGCGGUCUCGCCGCAGCCUCUCCUGCGCAGUAGUUUGCACAACUCGCACCGGGAGCGCGGCGCGUCCACGUCCGUAAAACACCCAACUUUCUGAAAUGUUGACCUCGGAUCAGGUAGGAAUACCCGCUGAACUUAAGCAUAUCAAUAAGCGGA
rnacentral:rRNA from 1 species